GACGAACGCUGGCGGCGUGCUUAACACAUGCAAGUCGAACGGAAAGGCCCUGCUUUUGUGGGGUGCUCGAGUGGCGAACGGGUGAGUAACACGUGAGUAACCUGCCCUUGACUUUGGGAUAACUUCAGGAAACUGGGGCUAAUACCGGAUAGGAGCUCCUGCUGCAUGGUGGGGGUUGGAAAGUUUCGGCGGUUGGGGAUGGACUCGCGGCUUAUCAGCUUGUUGGUGGGGUAGUGGCUUACCAAGGCUUUGGCGGGUAGCCGGCCCGAGAGGGUGACCGGGACGGCUAGGGAGGGAGUUAGGCCCGGCACACACACGGAGGGGAGGGAGGGGAGAGGAAGACAAAAGGACGGAGGACGGUCUGAGGAAGCGACGGUGGGGGAGUGAGGCAUUCGUUUGGUAAGCCGCUUUCGCUUGGCAGGAAGGAAAAUGACGGGAAAUGAGGAAAAAACACCGGCUAAAUAAGGG
rnacentral:rRNA from 1 species